GGUCUUAUAUUCAUAAGAGUAUGAUAUAAAAUUGCAAAUUUUAAGGAGUAAAUAUUUACUAAGGCUU
rnacentral:tRNA from 1 species